CGUGGUGUACCCGAGAGGCCAGGGAGCUGCCUGCAAAGCAGCGCACGCGGGUUCGAAUCCCGCCACCACGUCUA
rnacentral:tRNA from 1 species